UGUGUCGGCAUCGCAACUCCGGCCAUUCGGCAAUUCUCCUUCCGCUGCUGCGGGAAUCGGACACACAAUAUUUCUACGACUACAUGAGGAUGCUUCCAGCCACAUUUGACAAGCUCCUCUCCUUGGUGGAAAACUCAAUCCGAAGACGGGACACGAACUGGAGAGAAUGUAUCCCGGCAAGGACGCGACUGGAAAUCACACUAAGAUUUCUUGCCAGUGGUGACAGCCAGCGGAGUCUGUCUUACGCUUUUCAAGUUGCAAGGUCUACUGUGUCCGAGGUGAUUGCUGAAACUUCACAGGCAAUAUGGGACAAUCUGAAGGACGACUAUGUGAGAUGUCCCCGAACUCCUGAAGAGUGGAUGAACAUAGCUAGAGGGUUUCUGCAGCGCUGGAACGUUCCAAACUGCAUCGGUAAGUGGUGUUCCAGAACACAUGCGUCAUUUACAUGGUGUGCAUGCUUCAAGUACAAA